UGAAGCGGUAGUCUAUUUUUCAGAGCCAGUUUUUGGGCGAACAAAAAUGACCAGUUGUCUGUAAAUAAUUUUAUUAUUGAAUCGCGCAGAGUAAACUACAGACCAGUGACCACCAGGUAUGUUUGUGAUUAAAUAAAUUGACGGCAGUUGGUAAUGUUUCUUACUCAGGAAUUUAUAUUUAAUAAAUAUCAAUGGUUAAUAUUUAAAGCCUGAGAUGUAUAAUUUAGCAAGUACUCUUACCUUAUUAAUGUCAAAGGCACUCGACCUAAAAAGCUCGAAUGGCAGGUCGCUCCUGCCGCCCGUAACCAUCAUUAAUGGUACACAGACUAAAUAGAAAAGAGAAGAGAAAAAUAAUAGUAACAACAAUAACAACAAAUAUGAAGGCCACAGAGGAGGCAAAAAACGUGUCAAAACACUGGUAGUGCUACUUAUUAAAAAGUAAAAUACUAAAUACAAUGGAUAAUUAAAAUAAAAUAUAUAUCUCGGAUACAAUAAAUA